GACGCUGUUAUAAAUGAAUAGGUAUAUGAUAAUAUUAUCCAUCAGUCUAUACCCGAGAGAGCUUAUACAAGCUAUUUACAUUUAAAUUAUAGAUAAUACACUACAAAACACAUAAAUGGUCUCAAUAACAAGUUUAUUUACAUAGACGACGUGCAUUCCGGAAACCUACUUCAAUUUCAUCAACUAUUUAUAUUAUGGCGGUAUAAAAUUUAAAUAUACAUUAAGAGGGUCCAUUUGAGCCAGCAGGAAUGACUGACGGUCAUCACUACGAGGCGGGCAAACAGCGGAGCGGCUCACGACAGCGAUCACACCCCAUACUGACGGUACCACUACACUAUUACGCGAUACACUUACUACUGGCGACGCACGGUAGCUGGGCCUGUUUACAAAAUAAAGCCUAUUUAGAGCGAGGGCGAAGGGCCGGCUCGUCGCGCGGCGUUCGACCGAAUAAAGGUAACAGGCAGGCGGCUCGUUUGUUAGGCAGGGGCAGAGGGACCGGCUCCGCGGUGAGAUCAAAAGCGCCGCAGAUCAAAGGAGCCGCCGCGCGAUCGGCAUCCGUCAUUAUUAUUAUGCAAGCAUUACGGAGCGCGUGACUCAGGCGAGUAGGCCACGCGAGCUGCGCGGGCGCCGGUGAAACCCCCCACACCCCUUCCUCAACCCCUAACACAUCCCCAUGCCAUGAAGCACCUGUUUCGUAAGUGUAAAAUUUAACCCUAAAUUCUCAAAGCACGUUUUCGCACCGACCAUUCCGUGUACUCGCCUCACGCCUCAUUAAACUUAAUAACUUUGUUUGCAAGAAAGUACUUAAAACAAUACAGAAUUGUUUCUCAGUAA